CACGCAGUAAACGAUGCAGACUAGGCGUGGGGGGACUUGACCCCCUCCGUGCCGAAGCCAACGCGUGAAGUCUGCCGCCUGGGGAGUACGGCCGCAAGGCUAAAACUCAAAGGAAUUGACGGGGGCCCGCACAAGCGGCGGAGCGUGCGGUUUAAUUCGACGCAACGCGUAGAACCUUACCAGGGCUUGACAUGCACCUGCAGAGCCGUGAAAGCGGUUGGCCUUAGAGGGUGGUGCACAGGUGC
rnacentral:rRNA from 1 species